rnacentral:lncRNA from 1 species
GAAGCCUUUCAAAUUUCAAGACAAAAAUAGCUAAAUCACUGAAAUCACCUCAAAACUGCAGAAUUGCCUAAGUCAGGAAAAAUAGGCGUUCUAUCAAACUUUGAACCCUUAUAGAUCCAAAUCUAUCUCGAUUUUGAGCAAAUACCUUUUGUAAGUUUUAAACUUUGAAAUGAGGGCUACAAGUUUGAGAAAGGAAGAUUUUGAAGUUCAGUUCAAAAUUUUAGUUUUUUGGCCCCCAAACCCUGGCCUUUCGCCCUGCCCGCG